AUUGAACGCUGGCGGCAGGCCUAACACAUGCAAGUCGAGCGGAUGAAGAGAGCUUGCUCUCUGAUUCAGCGGCGGACGGGUGAGUAAUGCCUAGGAAUCUGCCUGGUAGUGGGGGACCACGUUUCGGAAGGAACGCUAAUACCGCAUACGUCCUACGGGAGAAAGUGGGGGAUCUUCGGACCUCACGCUAUCAGAUGAGCCUAGGUACGAUUAGCUAGUUGGUGAGGUAAAGGCUCACCAAGGCGACGAUCGUUAACUGGUCUGAGAGGAUGAUCAGUCACACUGGAACUGAGACACGGUCCAGACUCCUACGGGAGGCAGCAGUGGGGAACAUUGGACAAUGGGCGAAAGCCUGAUCCAGCCAUGCCGCGUGUGUGAAGAAGGUCUUCGGAUUGUAAAGCACUUUAAGUUGGGAGGAAGGGCAGUAAGUUAAUACCUUGCUGUUUUGACGUUACCGACAGAAUAAGCACCGGCUAACUUCGUGCCAGCAGCCGCAGUAACAC
rnacentral:rRNA from 1 species